GAGCCCCGCGUGGACACACCCUCGGCCCCAGGGCACCCGGGCACGAGUCUGUCUGGAGUAGGUGUUCCACUUCCUUUCGACGGGGCAGCUCCGGCCGAGCCGAGCCGAGCCGAAGCGACGCCCUGACCUAACCGAACUUCCUCCCCUGACCCUGGGGGGUGGGGUGGAGGCUGGAGACACCCCCCCCAUCUCCCGCCCUUCAAAGAGAACGUGGGUCCCAGGGUUUCCAGAACCUCAGUAAAUUGAGGGUGGGUGGGUGUUUAGUAAAGGGGGUGGUGGUAGGAAGAUGGAAGGAAGCUGUAUAAAAAAAGGAAAGAAGAAUUUUGAGAAUGUGUGAAGAACAUAAAUGGACUCCUUGGAAAGGUCUCAUGUGAAUGCAUCUGACUGAUGGGGCCCAGGUCCUGUUCCUGAUCAAGUUUCUGGCUCCUACCUUGGGGAGGCACAGACUUCUAGCUGUGGGAUUUUCCCUGAACACAGGCAGUGCUGUAUGCCCUGUCAUUCAAAGGAUUCAUGGUGGCCACAAAGCACAACAAAUCUACCAUGCAGGUUUUCUCCAAGCGGACCCAAGAACAGAGAAUGAAGACCACAGUUUCCCUUUCUUAUGCCUUCCCUGGAGUGCCUAGUCUUGUGUGCUGCCCGCCGUAGGGCCAAAGCAUUGAGGACUACAGAGGACACCUGGCAAAUCUGGAUAAUGGCCAGUAUUUGCAGGUGUAAUCAGGAAUCCUGAGAUGGAGCAUCAUGGAUUAUCCAGAGGUAUAUGAAGUCCAAUGACAAAUGUCCCUUGAGCAGAGGAGAAGAAUUCACAGACACAGACGGGAAGACCAUGUGGAGAUGGGGACAGAGAUUGGAGUGAUGCAGAUACAAGCCAAAAAAGCCUGGAGCCCACAGAAGCUGGAAGAGGCCAGGAAGGAAGACUUUGGAGAGAGUGCAGCUCUGCUGACUCCCUGACUUUGAAUUUCUGUGAGAGGAUACAUUUCUGUUGUGUUAAGCCACCCAGUUUAUGGUAAUUUGUUACCAUAGCUCUAGGAAACUAAUACAAGAGCCAAAUGUAAAGUGACCCGAGAAGGGAAGAGAUAAGAGGCCAUGGUCCGAGGUGGGAAAGACAGAGAGAAGUGAGACUCAAGAGAUCAACGAAGGCCUUUCAUCAAGGCGGCUGUGUAUGGUGGUGCAGGUUGUACACUGCACAACAGCAUGGUUAUAGUUUGAAUAUUUAUUGUUCUCUUUUUCCUGCAAAGGUCAGUGAGGUGUCUUGAGGAAGAGGUACCUUUUCUAAAACACACAAAGGCACCCUAUAGCCUUGCUGGAUUUUGGUGAGAAAAUUUAGAAAGCACUAUAUGUCUGCACCAUCCCAUAUAGUAGCCGCUGAUCAGUUGUGGCUCUAGAGCACUUAGAGUGUGGCUUGUGCGACUGAGGAGCUGAAUUUUAAAUUUUAACUGGCUGACACUACAACAUUGGACAUACAGCUCCAUGACAGAAAAACGGAAACUCAGCCCUGCUUGAGGCAGAAUUUGGUCACCAAAAACAUGGCCACUCUCCCCUGAUAUUGUUCAGAUGCUCCUUGACAGCUGCACUCCUUGUUGAGAAGGAGUGAGGGUGUCAAACAGGGACCACGGCUGUGGUGGAGGGGGUGGCAGGCAUCAAGACAUGCUGGAGAGAAUGAGAAAUGCCCAACCCUGGAUGGGUGCAAGGACCCAACAGCAGAAGGAGGGAGAGAGAAAGGGUUGCCUGAAGAGUUAACCAAUUGGCUGAUUCCCCAUAUCCUUUAGUAACCAUUCAUGAAUCUGUCAGUCAUGAAGUUAGCUCAAUUCUUGAACCUAUUUUUGUUUUCAACCCUUAAUUUAGGAUAAUGAACUUUUUUUUUGGUCUUUAUUUACUUAAGUAAUCUCUACAUCCAGUGUGGGGCUUAAGCUCAA